AUUUUAUUUAUUUUUAAUCCAGGAAAAACUUAACAGAGUAAGCCAUAUUAAUCCCUGAUCAUUACAUCAAACCCCAUACAACCAGCUGAAGACUUACAGUGUUAAGUGAAAAAAUCUGGAUACAAAUACAAGAUGAAAGUGAAGCAAGUCUAACAAUCCAACACCACAAUCAGCAAACUUAAUUAGUAGACAUUCUACCAAGUCCCUGACAUAUAGAUUAUUCAAAAAUUAAAAGUCAUUUUACUAUUAAUAAAUAUUGAAAUUAUGAAGUACACCAGUUUUGGGCCUUUUGGCCAUAGGAGAUUUCUUCCACUGGAUUCGGCUGCCCCUAGACAAGCUAAAUUCCGCAUAUUCCACCCUACAGAGUCUCCAGUUAAUUUGUAGUUUGUUUACCAUCAGGUGUCCUCCAUGGAAAACAACCAACAUGCUGUUGUAAACGUUUAUUGAAUCAACCACUGGUCAUAUGUGAGUUGAAAGAGUUUCAGAACUCACUAAUACUUAGCAAGCUGGUGGAGAAUGGCAGCAAGUUGAAGUUCCUCCAAGUCCAAGAGACAGGACUAUCGCAUUACUUCAUAAACACUUGAAGGAAUAACCUGAGGACUUGGGAAGUAUUAACUUGUAGAAGUACUUGGUUACACUUUGCUGAUGCAAAGGAACGUACGUAACUAGCAAAACUGUAAAGGUUUCUUCUAAUCACCGUUGGUAGAGGCCAUUCUGUUGGAUCUGUGUGAAGUUUACUUGAAUAUUUGGGAUGUGGGAAAUCUUGUGCCAAUCCUCAACCAUGUUGUUUCUCCAUGUUUCAUCCAGUCUGGAAAAAGCAUAGAUAGAUAGAUACUGUAAUCCUGUGAGAUUUGCCAUCCACUCUGGUAAAGACAUCAAAUUAUCACACCUUUCAAUUAUGAGAGUUUGCAAAGCAGCAACAUGUUGAAGCCCAUUUGGAAGAGCCACCAAUUCUGGAAUGCCAACCAAGCUAAGAGUGCGGAGGCUUUGAAGGCAUUUCCAUUGCUCAUUGUUAUCAUUUUCAUCUUCAGAUGCAGUAGUACUCAACCUCGAGCAGUCAAAAAUACUCACUUCUUGAAGAGAAGUGAAGCUUGGCAGAAGCUCCACUGGUAGAAAUUCCAAAUCCUCAAUUUCCCAAAUUGUCAAGCUUUUCAAUUGAGACACAGCAGGGGAAAAUGAAAAUGGAUGAGAAGAAGAAGAGCUGGAACCUGAGACUGAAAUUGUCAACUUCAGUAUCUGCUCCAAUGACCUCAUGCUAGCAUUCUCCAAUCUCAGUUUCUCAAGACAUGGUAAAGGUGGAAUUGAAGUCAGGUUACGGCAAGAAUGAAUCUCCAAGUCAGAAAGACAAGGAAAUGGAAGCAGUUCUGCUGCAGAUCUAUUAUCCCUGUUGCAUCUCUGCCAUCCCUUUAGAUUUGGGCAAUUUCUGAGUAAAAGAUGCUUUAGGGAAGGGAAGAAUAAUGUGGAUUCUCCUUCAGUAUCUAUGUACUCUAGAUUAGUUGAUUCUUCAAUUUCUAAACCUUCGAGAGAGGGGAGUAUAUCCAAUGAUGGGAGAUGUUGGAUGUUUUUGCAGUUAAGGAAAGAAAUGCUUAUCAAAUUAACGAGGGAAGGAAACCAACUUGGAGACUUCACUCCUCUGUAAUCCCACAAAAGCAACCCUCUCAGAUUUUGGUGUGGCCUUAAAUUCUCCAAUGACAUUUCAUCAAUAUCAACAUCAUUUGCAACAUCAUCAAUAUCAUUUUCAAGUUGACUCCAAUCUAAACUCAAGAGCUGAAGGUGUUGCUUCUCUUUCAAA
rnacentral:misc_RNA from 1 species